UACGAAGGGUGCAAGCGUUAAUCGGAAUUACUGGGCGUAAAGUGUGCGUAGGUGGUCUUUUAAGUCCGUUGUGAAAGCCCUGGGCUCAACCUGGGAAUGGCAGUGGAUACUGGAAGGCUGGAGUACGGUAGAGGAGGGUGGAAUUCCCGGUGUAGCGGUGAAAUGCGUAGAGACCGGGAAGAACACCAGUGGCGAAGGCGGCUACCUGGACAGGUACUGACGCUGAAGCGCGAAAGCUAGGGGAGCAAACAGG
rnacentral:rRNA from 1 species